AUUGAACGCUGGCGGCAGGCCUAACACAUGCAAGUCGAACGAGUGGCGGACGGGUGAGAAAUGUCUGGGAAACUGCCUGAUGGAGGGGGAUAACUCCUGGAAACGGUAGCUAAUACCGCAUACCAUCGGAUGUGCCCAGAUGGGAGUAGCUAGUAGGUGGGGUAACGGCUCACCUAGGCGACGAUCCCUAGCUGGUCGGAGAGGAUGACCAACCAGACAGAAACUGAGAGACGGUCCAGACUCCUACGGGCGGCAGCAGUGGGGAAUAUUGCACAAUGGGCGCAAGCCUGAUCAAGCCAUGCCGCAUGUAUGAAGAAGGCCAUCAGGUUGUAAAGUACUUUCAGCGGGGAGGCGUUACCCGCAGAAGAAGCACCGGCUAACUCCGUGCCAGCAGCCGCGGUAAUAC
rnacentral:rRNA from 1 species